rnacentral:tRNA from 1 species
GCCGGAGUGAUGGAAAUGGUAUACACGACAGUCUUAGGAACUGUUAGGGUGAAAUCCUUGUGUCGAUUCGAGUCCGACUUCUGGCA